rnacentral:tmRNA from 2 species
GGGGAUGUAAAGGUUUCGACGUGGAUGGUUGUAUCAUGAAUAGCGAGCCGGCGUUUCAUCAGGCCGCAAAACGGUGAACCGUUAAAUUAAACGCAAAAGAACAAAACUUUGCUUUAGCUGCCUAAUCGCGGCUAACGUCUCUUGCUGCUAAUCCUGCGGGCAGUUUGCAGACGUCACUUAGCGGGAUACCCUGCGGCAUGGGCCUGGCCGCCGCAGCGGGAAACUCACAAGGCUGGAACAGCGUAGUUUGUCCUUGUACGACAGCUGUUUGAGACGAUAAAACAAGGUCUGCGCUCGGAGAAGUUCAUGGGGCGGCAUUUACGGACAGGAGUUCGACUCUCCUCAUCUCCACCA